rnacentral:tRNA from 1 species
GACAGCGUGGCCGAGUGGUCUAAGGCGCUAGACUCAAGAGCAAAUCUUUCCUUCAGUGAAGGUGAGCAUUCUAGUCAACGAUUGUUGGCGUGGGUUCGAAUCCCACCGCUGUCA